CGCGGCCUAUCAGCUUGUUGGUGAGGUAACGGCUCACCAAGGCAUCGACGGGUAGCUGGUCUGAGAGGACGAUCAGCCACACUGGGACUGAGACACGGCCCAGACUCCUACGGGAGGCAGCAGUGGGGAAUCUUGCGCAAUGGGCGAAAGCCUGACGCAGCAACGCCGCGUGGGGAUGAAUGCCUUCGGGUUGUAAACCCCUUUCAGCAGGGACGAAAAUGACGGUACCUGCAGAAGAAGCUCCGGCCAACUACGUGCCAGCAGCCGCGGUAAUACGUAGGGAGCGAGCGUUGUCCGGAAUUAUUGGGCGUAAAGAGCUCGUAGGCGGUUCAGUAAGUCGGGUGUGAAAACUCAAGGCUCAACCUUGAGACGCCACUCGAUACUGCCGUGACUUGAGUCCGGUAGAGGAGUGUGGAAUUCCUGGUGUAGCGGUGAAAUGCGCAGAUAUCAGGAGGAACACCAGCGGCGAAGGCGGCACUCUGGGCCGGUACUGACGCUGAGGAGCGAAAGCAUGGGGAGCAAACAGGAUUAGAUACCCUGGUAGUCCAUGCCGUAAACGUUGGGCACUAGGUAUGGGAUCAUAUCAACGGAUUCCGUGCCGUAGCUAACGCAUUAAGUGCCCCGCCUGGGGAGUACGG
rnacentral:rRNA from 1 species